CCUACGGGUGGCUGCAGUGGGGAAUAUUGCACAAUGGGCGCAAGCCUGAUGCAGCCAUGCCGCGUGUGUGAAGAAGGCCUUCGGGUUGUAAAGCACUUUCAGCGGGGAGGAAGGCGUUAAGGUUAAUAACCUUGGCGAUUGACGUUACCCGCAGAAGAAGCACCGGCUAACUCCGUGCCAGCAGCCGCGGUAAUACGGAGGGUGCAAACGUUAAUCGGAAUUACUGGGCGUAAAGCGCACGCAGGCGGUCUGUCAAGUCGGAUGUGAAAUCCCCGGGCUCAACCUGGGAACUGCAUUCGAAACUGGCAGGCUAGAGUCUUGUGGAGGGGGGUAGAAUUCCAGGUGUAGCGGUGAAAUGCGUAGAGAUCUGGAGGAAUACCGGUGGCGAAGGCGGCCCCCUGGACAAAGACUGACGCUCAGGUGCGAAAGCGUGGGGAGCAAACAGGAUUAGAUACCCUAGUAGUC
rnacentral:rRNA from 1 species